GAGGAGCAUGCUAUGAGCUGCGCGCGAACCAUCCCAGGGCCAGACCUCCUCUAGCUGGCCUGUGCGACCCGGAAGCAUCCCAGGGCCAGACCUCCUCUAGCUGGCCUGUGCAACCCGGAAGCAUUCCAGGGCCAGGGGCCAGAGACAAGCACCCUGGGGCAAAAGGCAAAAUGGAGUCAACGUUUCUAGAACACACUGUUUAGGAAGCCAUUCCUCCCACUGUGAACCUGAGCUCGCCACCCCGCCCUGGACAACCCCACGAGUAUUCUAGGCCCUCUACAACACUUUUCGUUACAGAAUGUCGUUUUUGCUCCUGGCUCCGGAAUUCUUCACAGAUUUCUGGACCCAUUUGUGUAGUCAUGUGUGGAGGACAGGCCCGCAUCCAGACGUGACAAUACUCGCCUCUGAUUAAUGACACGAGCUGUGUCAGACCAGGAAAGGACAGACACCCGAGA